rnacentral:rRNA from 1 species
GUCUAUGACCAUACCACCCUAAAUGCAUCUGAUCUUGUGUGAUCUUGGAAGCUAAGCAGCAACAGGCCUGGUUAGUUUUGGAUGGGAGAGAAAUAGAACCGGUAGGAGAGAUA